AUAUAUAUAUGAGAGAGAGAGAGAGAGAGAGAGAGAGAGAGAGAGAGAGAGAGAGAGAGGCUGAUAUACUAUCGAUAGCACGGUGGCUUCCGUGCUUCAUGUUAUUUUUAAUGAUGUAGUUUCCAAAUCGACAAUCAAUUCCAUUAAACUUGAUUUACACUAUUGAAAGUAUUUGAAAAUCAAAUUUUAUAAUUUUUUGAUAUUAUUUACCUAUCAAACGAGUAGUCUAAAAAUAAAAGGCUGAAAAUAAAAAUUUUAUAAAAAAUAAUAAUAAAAGGCUUAAAUUUAAGAUAAAAUGUACUGAUCUUACUCUAAAUAAUAAAAAAAGAAAAAAAAAAUCUAUAUAAAUUUUAUCAUAUUUAGAUAGUUUUACACCGUUAAUUUCACGAACACAUCACGUCAGCUAUUAAUUAAAAUUGUCAAUUUUGAAACUUUUUGAUCACUAGUCAAAUAAAGUCAAAAAACUAUAUGAAAUAGGGUAGAUCAAGUCUAACUGAGCUGAUUGUCGAUUUGGAAGCCGCAUCAUCGAAAACAACUUGGUAGGACUAAAGGUUCCGUGCUACUGAUAGUAUACUAGUCUAGCUCGCUCGCUCUCUCUCUCUCUCUCUAUAUAUAUAUAUAUAUAUGCACACUCAUACACU
rnacentral:lncRNA from 1 species